UAGUGUCUCUGACAGGGAGCUAGCCCAAGUGGUUCUUUACCCACUAAGACCAUCUCUAUCUCACCCUGCAGGUUCUGCUUCCAUGCCUUGGAGGAGCUUUUCUCCUAGAGAUUCUGCAGUAGCUUGUGACACCCUUAUUUGGAAGAAUAACUUGCCAGAGAGUGAAUCGGCAACAGUAACAGUCAUGAGGGUGAGUAUUAU
rnacentral:lncRNA from 1 species